rnacentral:rRNA from 1 species
CAAGUCAUGGGGGCCCGCAAGGGCAACCGGCGAACGGGUGCGUAACACGUGAGCGACCUGCCUGAGUGCGGGGGAUAGCCGGCCCAACGGCCGGGUAAUACCGCAUACGCUUGUUUGAGGGCAUCCUUGGACAAGGAAACCUCCGGGGCACUCAGAGGGGCUCGCGGCCUAUCAGCUAGUUGGCGGGGUAAUGGCCCACCAAGGCGACGACGGGUAGCUGGUCUGAGAGGAUGGCCAGCCACAUUGGGACUGAGAGACGGCCCAGACUCCUACGGGAGGCAGCAGUGGGGAAUCUUGCGCAAUGGCCGAAAGGCUGACGCAGCGACGCCGCGUGUGGGAGGAAGCUCUUCGGGGUGUAAACCACUGUUGCCCGGGACGAACGAUGAGUUUUUACUCAUGUGACGGUACCGGGUGAGGAAGCACCGGCUAACUCUGUGCCAGCAGCCGCGGUAAUACAGAGGGUGCGAGCGUUGUCCGGAAUCACUGGGCGUAAAGGGCGCGUAGGCGGCUUGAUAAGGUUGCGGUGAAAGCCCGGGGCUCAACCCCGGGUCGGCCGUGGCAACUGUCGAGCUGGAGCACUGUAGAGGCAGGUGGAAUUCCGGGUGUAGCGGUGGAAUGCGUAGAGAUCCGGAAGAACACCGGUGGCGAAGGCGGCCUGCUGGGCAGUGGCUGACGCUGAGGCGCGACAGCGUGGGGAGCAAACAGGAUUAGAUACCCUGGUAGUCCACGCCGUAAACGAUGGGCACUAGAUGCUUGGGGGAGCGACCCUCCGAGUGUCGGCGCUAACGCAUUAAGUGCCCCGCCUGGG